UACGGAGGGGGCAAGUGUUACUCAUAAUGAUUGGGCGUAAAGGGUAUGUAGGCGGUUUUUUUAGUUUGGAUAGAAAGGUACAUAAAGUAAUAGUUAUCUAAAUACUAUAAGACUAGAGUUUAUUUGGGGAAUGUGGUAUUUUCAUUGUAAAGGUGAAAUUUAAAGAUAAUGAAAAGACCAACAGAGGUGAAGACGACGUUCCAUGAUAAGACUGACGCUGAGGUACGAAAGCGUGGGGAGCAAACAGG
rnacentral:rRNA from 1 species